rnacentral:lncRNA from 1 species
CGCCGAAACACCGCAGCCAUGUUGUUUUCUUUCAGAAGGUUCCGUUGUAACUUGUGAUAUGCAACCAAUUUGCGCACUGAAGAGAAGGUAAACAAAUACCUAACGGCAUGGAGACCAACUCCAAGUAAGAAAAGGGAAAUAAUCACAAGGAAUCAACAAUCAAACCUCCCGAAUUAACAUGCUGUUCAGGCUUUGGACUGCGGCCACGCUGGAGCAAUGCCUGAUGGUUUGAGUCGAAGAAACCGAGGUUCUCAAUAAUUGUAUGGUUUGCGUUUGGGUAAAUGAAAAGGGACAGAGACUCGAGCUCAUUUUGCCGAGUCUCCAGUAAUUGAGGAGGCGAAAGAAGGCAGAAACACUGACACACAAGUUACUGGAGUAUGAAGUAGCGUAUUAAUACGUUAUCUUGGCCGAAAUCCUUGCAGCAGUGUUGACUCUUAAAAACACCAGAUUACCAUAAAGUGGGUGUCAAAAAAAAUAUCAUAUGCAGCAAAAAUACAAAUUAAAACCACCCACGGACUGGGUGGUGGCCUUUCACCAGAUAUUAUAUGAGGUCACUCAUCCACGCUAGAAGCGCUUAAUGAUUACAGGAUGGUAUUAAAACGGAUAGCUUCUUAUGCCUACCACCCAAAACCAAGAGCACCCAAGGACCAAGCAGUGGUUUCGAGGGAGAGAGAGAAAAAGAGAUUGAGAGAGAGAGGGGGGAAAUGGAGAGAGUGAGUAAGAGAGACAAAUAUAAAGUCAGAGAGGGAGAUAGAAAGGAUGAGAGCAAGAGAAAAGAAAUUGACUGCUACACUUCACUGGUAAUGUAUUUAACGAUCCCAGAAAUAAAAGGCGAAGUAAGUCUAGGAGUGAUUAGAACUUGGAAUAUGGAGAAAUGUAAGAAGUUCUAAAUAGCAUUCAACCGAACGCUCUAACGACUUAGCCAGGUCAUGGUCAAAACGUUCCUGGGAACUUUAUAAUCAUUGGGUGUCGUAUUUUGAUCUCGCUUAAAUACGAAUAUAAUGCGCAGUGGUAUUGUUCAUGACUUUUCCAGGAAGUAUUUACUUUGAAAGAAUAUAAUAAGCCAAAAUUGCUGAAAAUAAUGUGCAACGGAAAAGGGAGUGGGAUGAGGUGGUAGAUGAGUUCUUGUUCGAAUAGGAGCUUUUCUACUCGAAAUGAUCGAACAAUUCAGUAUAUUCGUGAUUUCAUACUUCGUAUCUUCAUUUAUGUUUUUAAGACUAAAUAUGAUGUAGCAAAGAUAUGAGUUUAGUU